CUACGGAGGCAGCAGUAGGAAUAUUGCGCAAUGGGGAAACCCUGACGCAGCAACGCCGCGUGAGUGAGGAAGGUCUUCGGAUUGUAAAACUCUUUUCUUAGGAAAAAUGGUUACGGAGCUAAUACCCCGUAGUUUGAUGGUACCUAAGGAAUAAGCACCGGCUAACUUCGUGCCAGCAGCCGCGGUAAUACGAAGGGUGCAAGCGUUGUUCGGAAUCAUUGGGCGUAAAGCGCGCGCAGGCGGAUUGAUAAGUCAGGUGUGAAAUCUCGAAGCUCAACUUCGAAACUGCGCCUGAAACUAUUAGUCUAGAAUGUCGGAGGGGGCAGGGGAAUUUCACGUGUAGGGGUAAAAUCCGUAGAGAUGUGAAGGAACACCGGAGGCGAAGGCGCCUGCCUGGACGACUAUUGACGCUGAGGCGCGAAAGCGUGGGGAGCAAACAGGAUUAGAUACCCUGGUAGUCCACGCCGUAAACGAUGAGCACUAGUUAUUGGAGGUAUUGACUCCUUCAGUGACGCAGCUAACGCAUUAAGUGCUCCGCCUGGGGAGUACGGUCGCAAGACUAAAACUCAAACAAAUUGACGGGGGCCCGCACAAGCGGUGGAUUAUGUGGUUUAAUUCGAAGCAACGCGCAGAACCUUACCUAGGCUUGAACUCCUCCGAAUCCGGGGUAAUGCCUGGAGUGUCCGCAAGGAAAUGGAGUGAGAGGUGCUGCAUGGCUGUCGUCAGCUCGUGUUGUGAAAUGUUGGGUUAAGUCUCGCAACGAGCGCAACCACUAUCGUCUGUUGCCAGCAUUAAGUUGGGCACUCUGACGAGACUGCCUGGGUUAACCAGGAGGAAGGUGGGGAUGACGUCAAGUCCUCAUGGCCCUUAUGUCUAGGGCUACACACGUAAUACAAUGGCGCGUACAAAGGGAAGCGAACUCGCGAGGGGGAGCAAAUCUCAAAAAGCGCGCCUCAGUUCGGAUUGGAGUCUGCAACUCGACUCCAUGAAGUUGGAAUCGCUAGUAAUCGGAGAUCAGCACGCUCCGGUGAAUACGUUCCCGGGCAUUGUACACACCGCCCGUCACACCAUGGGAGUUGUUUUCAUUUUAAGACGUGACUCUAACCGCAAGGAGGAGAGCGUCUACAGUGGGAGCGAUGACUGGGGUGAAGUCGUAACAAGGUAACC
rnacentral:rRNA from 1 species